rnacentral:rRNA from 1 species
UACGUAGGGUGCAAGCGUUAAUCGGAAUUACUGGGCGUAAAGCGUGCGCAGGCGGUUUUGUAAGUCUGUCGUGAAAUCCCCGGGCUCAACCUGGGAAUUGCGAUGGAGACUGCAAGGCUAGAAUCUGGCAGAGGGGGGUAGAAUUCCACGUGUAGCAGUGAAAUGCGUAGAGAUGUGGAGGAACACCGAUGGCGAAGGCAGCUCUCUGGGACGGUACGUGACGCUGAGA